rnacentral:rRNA from 1 species
ACUCCUACGGGAGGCAGCAGUGAGGAAUAUUGGGCAAUGGAGGCAACUCUGACCCAGCCAUGCCGCGUGCAGGAAGACGGCCCUAUGGGUUGUAAACUGGCUUUUAAUACAUGGAAGAAACGCAUCUACGUGUAGGUGUUUGACGGUACUGUAAGAAUAAGGAUCGGCUAACUCCGUGCCAGCAGCCGCGGUAAUACGGAGGAUUCGAGCGUUAUCCGGAUUUAUUGGGUUUAAAGUGUCCGUAGGCGGAUUAAUAAGUCAGUGGUGAAAUCCCAUCGCUUAACGAUGGAACUGCCAUUGAUACUGUUAGUCUUGAAUGAGGGUGCAGUGGUUGGAAUGUGUAGUGUAGCGGUGAAAUGCAUAGAUAUUACACAGAACACCGAUUGCGAAGGCAGAUCACUAACCCU